GAUGAACGCUGGCGGCGUGCCUAAUACAUGCAAGUCGAGCGAACAGACGAGGAGCUUGCUCCUCUGAUGUUAGCGGCGGACGGGUGAGUAACACGUGGAUAACCUACCUAUAAGACUGGGAUAACUUCGGGAAACCGGAGCUAAUACCGGAUAACAUGUUGAACCGCAUGGUUCAACAGUGAAAGACGGUCUUGCUGUCACUUAUAGAUGGAUCCGCGCCGCAUUAGCUAGUUGGUAAGGUAACGGCUUACCAAGGCAACGAUGCGUAGCCGACCUGAGAGGGUGAUCGGCCACACUGUAACUGAGACACGGUCCAGACUCCUACGGGAGGCAGCAGUAGGGAAUCUUCCGCAAUGGGCGAAAGCCUGACGGAGCAACGCCGCGUGAGUGAAGAAGGUCUUCGGAUCGUAAAACUCUGUUAUUAGGGAAGAACAAAUGUGUAAGUAACUAUGCACGUCUUGACGGUACCUAAUCAGAAAGCCACGGCUAACUACGUG
rnacentral:rRNA from 1 species